UCUAGAUUGAUGAUGCUCGUCAGGGCAAAUCUAUUGAGCCCGAACACGAUGAGGUUAUGAUGAGUAGUUUAGGAGUUCUGGUGACCAACUCCUGACUCCAUCAUGAGACCCUGGAACUCU
rnacentral:sRNA from 1 species